UACGGAGGGUGCGAGCGUUGUUCGGAAUCACUGGGCGUAAAGCGCACGUAGGCGGAUUUGUCAGUCAGGGGUGAAAUCCCGGGGCUCAACCUCGGAACUGCCUUUGAUACAGCAAGUCUUGAGUUCGAGAGAGGUGAGUGGAAUUCCGAGUGUAGAGGUGAAAUUCGUAGAUAUUCGGAAGAACACCAGUGGCGAAGGCGGCUCACUGGACUGGUAUUGACGCUGAGGUGCGAAAGCGUGGGGAGCAAACAGG
rnacentral:rRNA from 1 species